AUUGAAUCAAAUGCCCAAAUAACUCCCAUUUCUCCCAAAUCGUGGAAGGCUGGAAGAAAAACCUUUUCCAAUUUCUUCAAUUCUUCCUUCGCCACACGCCCCUGCCUGCACGAUGCUGCACACAAGUGACGAGACACGACGGUGUAGAAGACCGCCGGUUUCACCCCUGCCCUGCAAGUUGCAGUGUGAGACACUUCUUCCUUUGCCACCGCGGGUUCACCCCUGAUUUCUAAUUGUUUUUCUAACAUGACUUUUGACUUCAUUCUGAAAAUCUUUCAUCUUUUUGAGUUUUGGAGUAAAGAUAGAUAUAUUGGUGUGUUGUCUAUUGAUAUACUAAUUAAUUAUCCAAUAAGCCAUAAAAUAUUGUAUUAUUAAUAAAUAGGGUGGAUUAAAAUUUAAAAGUACAAAAUUUAAUUAAAAACAAGAUUACUGCAAUUCGAAUUAUCUUCAUAAUUUACUUCUAUUAAUUAUUAUAUUCCUCAAAUAUUGGACUGAGGGUGAGGGAUAUAAUUAAAUAAUUGAACAGUGCCAUAUAUUAUGUGAGUGCUAAAUGAAAAUUUUCACAGGCUAUGAAUCAUAUGAUUGCCUAUUUGUAUGUGCUAACUACUAAAUUGGCAAAUUUAAUUUUAUUAUAUUGUAAUUUGUAGGUGCUUACUGCUCAACACCAUGUUUAACAGUUUAAGGGUAUCAAUUUGGCAUGAAAUUGGAGCAGAAUCAUAGAAUUCUUUGUCCACUUGGCAAGCAAGUUCUCUGGUUCACUGGUUGGAGACUUGGAGCCAAUAUUAAUGCCAAAGGAUUCCUUCCUCAGGUCAGUAACUUAAGUUGAUCAGUUGAUGUUAAAUAUGUUGUGAUUUAUUCAUUUGGGAAUUAAAAAAUUGCGAAUUGUGAUUUAUGAUUAUUGAUUUGAGAAUUUAUGUUUACGAAAUUAUAUUUGCAUUCGUGAUUUAUGAUAAGUAAUUUAUGUUUUGAUAAUGAAUGAUUAUUGAUUUGGGAAUUUAUGUUUACGGAUUUAUGUUGUGAAUUGUGAUUUAUGAUAAGUAAUUUAUGUUUUGUGAGUUAUGAUUAUUGAUUUGAGAAUUUAAGUUUAGGAAAUUAGUCAAGGUGAAAAAAUUUAAUUGAGAAGAUGUUGGCUGCUCAAUUCAACCCCUGUGUACUUGGUUUUUCUUUUAAUCAAUUGUAAUUGAUCGUAAUAUCGGACUAUUACGAUCGUCGACGGUCGGUCAAUGGUUAAUCGUCAACCCGCCCUAGCUGGACUUGGAUCUUGGAUUCGUUGCUGCUUAACAAGCCCCCCUCAAGAUAGUGGCUCAUUUGAACAGACCAAUCUUGAAAUCAAGAGAACAAAGAAGAGGGAUAAACCUGAUGCAGACCUUGCAAAUGUGGCAUAUGAACUUUCCUCGAAGGGAAGAAACACCAGCCUAACCACUAAGCUCUCUGAAACAUUGACCUGAUUUAAUUUAGCAUACUCAGUAAAUUUUUAAGUUUCAAACUGAAAAUCGAAUUACAUGCUAGAGCAGUUGAACUGACACAGCUCCAGAUAAUUGCAUCUUUCUCAUGGAAACACGCUAUCUUGUGAAGCAAUGUAUUAACUAUUAGCAAAGAGUAUAUUAUUGAAAGAC
rnacentral:lncRNA from 1 species